CCGUGCGCCGCGAGGAGGAGGGGGCCGUGUGGAAACGGUGCGGGGCUUUGGGUUGGAUAUUAGGAAGAAGUUUUUCACACAGAGGUGGUGCCACUCUGGAACAGGUUGCCCAAGGAGGCUGUGGAUGCCCCAUCCCUGGAGGCAUUCAAGGCCACGCUGGAUGUGGUUCUGGGCAGCCUGGUCUGGAGGUUGGCAACCCUGCACAUAGCAGGGAGGUUGAAAGUCAGUGAUCAUUGUGGUCCUUUUCAACCAAGCCCAUUCUACGAUUCUAUGCACUAGAUUAGGCUGGCCAUGGUUCCUAUCCAACCUAGCCUCUUUUUAUGCCUUACAACUUAGCCACUUUGUACGUCUCUUUUCAGAAAGAAAACAAAGAUAUACCGAUUCAGACUACUUUAACACUUCCAUGCAAAUGCACUCUUCUAAUAUUUUUUAAAUGGAUCUUUUUGUUUUGUUUUUGCUCUGAGAAUUCUUCCUUCCACUCUAACACAUUGGUAAAAUGAAAGGCUGUCUAGUACUGCAUUAAUGGGUAUCAUUCAUGCCAGUUCACUAGUAUGGAUGGAUACUAUACUCCCUGAAAUGAAUGGUCAUUAGAUAUUUCCUCAGAAAUCUUCAUUUUUUCACAGUUAUUCAAGUAAUUUAUUUUUUACCAAGUCAGCAGCUAUAUAUCUGCUGAUGGAAAGAGAAUCCAUGUUCUGGAAAAGAAAACAUGUGUGCAGCGAUUUUUUCAAGAUUUUGGUCACAAGCCCAAGAUCACUCAGUUCUGUCCUUUACUGGGGAGCUGUGCAGUGCUGAGCUGUCUGCUGGGCUAAUUCACAACAGUGAACAUGCCUGUUAGACAAUCACAAACACUUGAUCCUCAGAUCUUAAUAGAAACUGUGCACAAAAUGGCCAGCAAAGUAAAAUCCAUUACUGUCAAAAUAAAUAUUAGAAAAUGACUAAAAAUAUUUGUCUUUCCUGGUUUAAUUGUAUUUUGUGCAUCACCUCAAAAAUGAAAGAAAUACAGUUGGGAAAUCUAAACCUUAUUUCAAACUACACACACCAGAUUGCUGAAUCCCUCCUCGAUAAAUAGCAGUAUUCUUGUACAGUGACAUAUUUAUCCUUUAGAGAAUUUAACAGUAGUAAGCAACAUUUCCAACCAAGGGAACAAAAGCAUUUGAAGUUUUAAAAAUGCUAAACUGACCCCUAAUGAAGGCCACACAGCACUAUCCAUCCAAGUUCAGGAGCGGGUAUAAGUUAGGGCCCACAUCCAGUUUAAACAAUGAAGGUGGCCAUCCAGUUCUGCAGUUUUUAAUUAUAUGGAUGCAGGCACUGCUGUGCCAUUUGGAUGUUUGGCACAGAACUGGCCCUAGAAACCUCAGCUACAUUGCUUUUUUUUUUUUUUUUUUAUGAUCUAACUGAUUUAAUCACAUCUACAGAUUUAGCAUCUCUUGUUUUCUUGGUGUUUUUUCUUUUUCUUUUUUUUUAAUUAUUCUAUUACUUUUCUUUGAAUGUGAAAAAGAGAAACUAUACAGUAAUAUAGGGGCAGGGGCAUCCCCCAGGUUGUGGUAGGAUUUUUAAAGCCGCAACUUGAGUUCCAGUCCAUGGCUUACUGAGCUACUACACUGACCAGACAUGGUCUUCUGAAGACGGCUUGGUUGGCAUUGUUUUUACAGAGAUUCAAAGUUUCUGAGAAAUCUUUCCCAGUAGUUUAGCUGGAAGAGAGUGUUUACAGUGAACUAUAUUUUGGAGCCACACAAGAAAUGGAGAUCUUGAAGAUCAACAGGUCAAGCUCUCAAAAUAUGGAACACGACACUAUUUUGCUGUUCAUGCACUCAGUCUCUGAGCAGCCCAGGGAACAAAUGCUGACUUGCCUGACCUGGAGAGUGAAAAAUGAAGAUGGAUCAAUUAAGAUAACUAGACAGCUUGUGAUGCUUAUCAAUAAAGUACUGGCAGAUCUCUACUACAUGUAUGGAGAAAGACAUUUCAAAGGUUAAGAACAAAGCCAGUUUGGAUAGAUGCAUAGGCUGGGGAUUGUAAAAAUACAUAGUCAUUUGUUAAGAUUUUUCUUAUUAUGCAGUUGUCGUGUUUUUUUUCCUUGGAAUUCUCUGACAAUUUGUGCACAAUAAAGAAUUCUUUGGUUUGUUAUUCUCAGUGGGUAGAGUCUGAAAUUUGCUCUAUUUUGGAGGACUGAGAUGGCAAGUAAAUGACUGCUAUUAAAACAAAUAUCUGGAGACCAAAAAACAACUUUUUAAUCAUGUUUUUUGAUUCCUCUUGUCUGUUUUUCUGGAUUGUAAAUUAUUUAUUCACAUCCAUUUCUACUAUAUAUAAAUCUGAAUCUUCUCUGCCCUGUGUCUGAACUAUAGAUUUAUCAUAACGUUUAUUUUUGACCCUUAGCAUGCUUGUAUACAAAAUUAUGUAGACAUUGCCUGAUUUUGUAUUAUGUAUUAAAACCAGCAAAAUGUGCUAAUUUCUCUAGGAUUAAAAAGAAAAUCAGUGUGCUUCAAUUAAUUAACAGAUUCUUAUUUUAA
ensembl:lncRNA